ensembl:lncRNA
CCCCAGGAGCCCACACCUCACCCGGGCUCUCAGGCUGCCCACGGGUUGAGCCCCUCUCUGGAGGCCACACAGGUGCCCGCAGUGCCCAGUGCCCAGGAAGGAGGAGAUGCCCAGCCCCGCUCCUGGGGGCAGGAGGGGGCUGGAGACUCCAGAAGCGAGGCGAGGAAAGGGAAGCCUGUGUGAGCUCACAGCACUGUGGAGUCAGAAUUUAGCUGCUUGGAAGCCAUCGUUGCUUUCAUGAUGCUGAGUGGCCUCCCUCUUUCUGAGAGAAGUUUAUUGGUGAGCGUUGGAGGCAAGGUGGCCCAGGUAAGAGCCCUCUUGAGCCAUGGAAGCCAGUCAGUAAUCAUGCAAGUGUGAUUCACAGCCUUCUGAGAACCGCUUUGCGGGGAGUCCCUGCUGCAGAGCCUGGGGAGCAGCACGUGCAGCUAUAAGGAGAGUGGCCAGCCGAGCUGCUCAGAGGGGACAGCAGAAGCAGGCCGGCACCGUGCACAGUGCAGACGUGCCAGAGGGCUGCGUCCUGCAGCAGAUCGCGUGGGCUGUGGUGGAGGCUCAGCAGCGAGGUCUGAGUGAUGGGUAACGAAGCCACAGAGCAUUUUGACCCAGGAAAUGGCUCUUGCACGUCUUCAGUCCAGAGUGGGGAGAUGGGCGAGGGAAAAGGUCUCAAGUUACAGCACCUGGCUUGGCUAUACAGAAGGGGACGAGAGCCUGGAAACUGCAUUUUAAACGUGGAGUCAACCAGAUGAUAGCCUCCUCUGGAUGUGGAGCCGUCAGGGAGCAAUCUCUCUCCCCAGGAAGACAUGUGUCAAGCAGGACGCUGAGAGGUACGUGCAGCCUGGGCCUGGUCUCCUUUGUCUGAGCCCCGCGUGCGUGCUCCCCACACACAGUGUGGAGGGGCCCUAAGUGCCCGCGGGCUGGGCAGGGCACAAAACGAGCAUCCGACAGCUCCUGGCCAGCGGCAGGCUGAUGAGGAGGUGGUUUUUAACAGCCUCCUGCUUAUUGAUUUCUGUGUGGUGAGGUCAACUUCAGCCUCCCUCCCAUGGAGAGAGGCUACAAAACCAAAGCGGUUUGGUCCCCAUCUAUUUCCUGCAGGCUCUCGGUAGAGUGACCAGCUCCCUGCUGGCUGUGACCUUGGGCAGGUCACCUUGCCCAGGUCUCGGUUGCUCUCACAUCCAUGUCCCCUGGCAAUGACAUGCGCUGGAAGCCUGCUAAGGACCAGGCACUGCCUCAUGUGACUGACACAUGGUCAGGUCUUCCAUCCUCGCCCAGCUCCCUUAGCUGAUCCCGGUUUUCCAGGUGAGGACACUGAGGCACAGGGAGGUCAGGUAACGUCAGUGAGGUCAUGGAGCUGGUGGCUCUGGGGCUCAGCACAGUGCCCGGCUCUGCCGCCUGAACGCUCAGCUGAGCGUUGCCCAGGCCCUUUCCUGGGGCACCGCCGUUUCCUGCUUCUUGUGUCCUGUGCCAGUUUGUCCCUAGCCUUUACAUCACAG